UGGUAAUGCCGGAUGCUCCGACUCCUCGCAUGGGGUGUCGGGAAAGAUUUCAUCGGUAUGGGAUGGGGUCGCGUCCUAUCAGGUAGUCGGCGGGGUAACGGCCCACCGAGCCUACGACGGGUAGCCGGCCUGAGAGGGCGACCGGCCACAUUGGGACUGAGAUACGGCCCAGACUCCUACGGGAGGCAGCAGUGGGGAAUAUUGCACAAUGGGCGCAAGCCUGAUGCAGCGACGCCGCGUGCGGGAUGACGGCCUUCGGGUUGUAAACCGCUUUUGAUCGGGAGCAAGCCUUCGGGUGAGUGUACCUUUCGAAUAAGCACCGGCUAACUACGUGCCAGCAGCCGCGGUAAUACGUAGGGUGCAAGCGUUAUCCGGAAUUAUUGGGCGUAAAGGGCUCGUAGGCGGUUCGUCGCGUCCGGUGUGAAAGUCCAUCGCUUAACGGUGGAUCUGCGCCGGGUACGGGCGGGCUGGAGUGCGGUAGGGGAGACUGGAAUUCCCGGUGUAACGGUGGAAUGUGUAGAUAUCGGAAA
rnacentral:rRNA from 1 species